AUUGGUUCUUGUCUGAUCACUGAAGUUAAGCAACGGUGUGCCUGGUUAGUACCUAGAUUGGUAACCGCCUCGAAAUACUAGGUGCUGUAUGC